CAGAAAUCCUACCUGUCCUUCUGGCUACAGAGUACUUACCAAGCCCAUGAAAUCGAAUGCAGAUCUUCCUGAUGUGAGAUUUACAUAAAUAUGUCAAAGUCUCAACCUCAUGCUGCCCUCCCCCAUCCUCCUAAACCUGUGGAUACAAGUGCAGAUUUCCUUAAUGUUCAAUGGUGCGUGUUCUUCUAAUGGCUGCCUUCCCACUGGAGGUUUUGAUCCACAGCAAUUUAAAAGGAGGACAGAGCAAAACGGACAUCGACGGUGAAGACUUUCUGUGUAUCUAAAAUUGCAUACAGCACAAGUAACUUACUUUGCAACCAUUAAAAUAGGUUGUAAAGUAAGUUACCAAUACAAAUAGGUGAUGAUCAGUG